GUUCUAAAGCUAGACUUUCGAAAAGCCUUUGCUAGUGUGAGUUGGAGCUGCCUGUUCCAGAUCUUUGAAGCUAGAGGCUUUCCACAGAGGUGGAUUCAGUGGAUUUCCUCCUUGCUAUCCACUGGUAAAUCGCGAGUUCUCAUGAAUGGAGAGCUUGGUGAUACUUUUUCUGCUAAGAAGGGCUUCCGUCAAGGGGACUCUCUAUCUCCG
rnacentral:rRNA from 1 species